rnacentral:rRNA from 1 species
AUUGAACGCUGGCGGCAGGCCUAACACAUGCAAGUCGAACGAGUGGCGGACGGGUGAGUAAUGUCUGGGAAACUGCCUGAUGGAGGGGGAUAACUACUGGAAACGGUAGCUAAUAACGCAUACCAUCGGAUGUGCCCAGAUGGGAAUAGCUAGUAGGUGGGGUAACGGCUCACCUAGGCGACGAUCCCGAGCUGGUAUGAGAGGGUGACCAGCCACACUGGAACUGAGACACGGUCCAGACUCCUACGGGAGGCAGCAUUGGGGAAUAUUGCACAAUGGGCGCAAGCCUGAUGCAGCCAUGCCGCGUGUAUGAAAAAGGCCUUCGGUUUGUAAAGUACUUUCAGCGGGGAGGCGUUACCCGCAGAAGAAGCACCGGCUAACUCCGUGCCAGCAGCCGCGGUAAUUC